rnacentral:rRNA from 1 species
UUAAAUUGAAGAGUUUGAUCAUGGCUCAGAUUGAACGCUGGCGGCAGGCCUAACACAUGCAAGUCGAACGGUAACAGGAAACAGCUUGCUGUUUCGCUGACGAGUGGCGGACGGGUGAGUAAUGUCUGGGAAACUGCCUGAUGGAGGGGGAUAACUACUGGAAACGGUAGCUAAUACCGCAUAACGUCGCAAGACCAAAGAGGGGGACCCUCGGGCCUU